UACAGAGACUGCAAGCGUUAUUCGGAUUCACUGGGCGUAAAGGGUGCGCAGGCGGUCGGGUGUGUCAGAUGUGAAAUCCCGAGGCUCAACCUCGGAACUGCGUCUGAAACUACUCGACUAGAGUACUGGAGAGGGUAACGGAAUUCACGGUGUAGCAGUGAAAUGCGUAGAUAUCGUGAGGAACACCAGAGGCGAAGGCGGUUACCUGGACAGUUACUGACGCUCAGGCACGAAAGCCAGGGGAGCAAACGGG
rnacentral:rRNA from 1 species